CGACGACAGAGUCUUCUGCAUCCGCAUCUACAUCUCAACAAUGGUUUCUCGCGUCGUGUUGGUCGUGCUGGUGGUGGUCGUCCUAGCGGCCGCAGCACUGGCUCUCCCUGACCCCACCAAACGGCACUUGGGAUACGGCUUGUACGGAGGAUACGGAGGAUACGGCCUCGGAGGAUUUGGCUUGGGAGGCUACGGAGGAUACGGCUAUGGAUCCCACUAUCCUUAUUACGGAUCCUACUACGGAUAGAUAGCGAAGUACCAAGUAAACCUCGUCAACAAAGUCCAAAUUAACCGGGCUCCCCUCAUGGACAUAGCCCGGGCGAGGCUCUGCUUCGCGAAUCAGACAAAAAGAAGAAGAAGAAAAAAAAAACGAAGUCCAUAGGUUGUCAGUGAACACCAGUCCAGACUUGUAUUUAUCACU